rnacentral:rRNA from 1 species
UACGAAGGGUGCAAACGUUGCUCGGAAUUAUUGGGCGUAAAGCGCACGUAGGCGGCUUUGUAAGUCGGAUGUGAAAUCCCUCGGCUUAACCAAGGAAGUGCAUCCGAAACUACAGAGCUUGAGUACUUAAGAGGAUCGCGGAAUUCCAGGUGUAGCGGUGAAAUGCGUAGAUAUCUGGAGGAACACCGGUGGCGAAGGCGGCAUCCUGGACCACGACUGACGCUGAGUGAGCGAAAGCCAGGGGAGCAAACGGG